AUGAGCAGUCAAAUCAUAAGCCCCACCUUUCCCACUGUAAGUUGCUCGGAAGAAGCAACCAUCAAUACACUCUUCUUUGAAUCCGCUCAUACUAGUCCCUCUGCCACUGUUUGUAGAGUGCACUUCAAAAAAGAAGAACAAUCUCUGGGACCAAGGCGACUAGUGAUCAGCCUGAAAAAUAGCAUUGGUAGUUAUAGAACGGCGUCUAUUACUAGAGGAAAUAAUGCGUACACACAUGCAUGCAGUGCUUCCACCCCGGGUACACACAUGCAUGCACUUACUCCACUCUGUAGUACAUCGAGAGAAAAUUGUGGACUUGAUUGCGGUUACCACGCCCUAAUUAAUUGA
rnacentral:rRNA from 1 species